rnacentral:rRNA from 1 species
AUUGAACGCUGGCGGCAUGCUUUACACAUGCAAGUCGAACGGCAGCGCGGGCUUCGGCCUGGCGGCGAGUGGCGAACGGGUGAGUAAUACAUCGGAACGUGCCCAGUAGUGGGGGAUAGCUCGGCUAAAGCCGGAUUAAUACCGCAUACGACCUGAGGGUGAAAGCGGGGGAUCUUCGGACCUCGCGCUAUUGGAGCGGCCGAUGGCAGAGUAGCUAGUUGGUGGGGAAAAGACCUACCAAGGCGGCGAUCUGUAGCGGGUCUGAGUGGACGACCAGCACACUGGGACAGAAGAAGCGGCCAAGCCCCCGCGGGGGGGCAGGGGGGGGGAAUUUGGGAAAAGGGGGGAAAGCCUGUACCAGGAGGGCGGGGGGGGUGAUGAAGGCCUUCGGGGUGAAAAGCCCUUUGGGGGGGAAAGAAAAGGACUUGCCAAAAACCACGGUUGAAUGACGGAACCCGCAGAAAAAGCACCGGUUAACUACGG